rnacentral:RNase_P_RNA from 1 species
GUGGCCGGAGGGUCUGUCGCUCGUGUUCGUAUCUAAAGCACGAGAGGAAAGUCCGGGCAACAUAGAGCACCAUACUGUCUAACGGACAGCCGUCAGUAAUGGCAGAGUAGUGUGACAGAAAAUAACCGCCUCCAUCGUGAGGUAAGGGUGAAAAGGUGAGGUAAGAGCUCACCGGGCGCAUCAGCGAUGGUGCGCGCCGCACGCCUUAUGGGUUGCAAGGUCAAGUAUACCGGCAUUUAAGGGUUGCUCGCCCAUUGCCGAGGGGUAGACUGCUUACGGGGCUUCGGCGCCAGAUAAAUGACAGACGGGCGGCGGAGGUUCUUCGGAAAACACCGCACCCACAUAACCCGGCUUAUACUCCGACCACGCUU